rnacentral:rRNA from 1 species
UGGAUUAGUGGCGAACGGGUGAGUAACACGUGAGUAACCUGCCCUUGACUCUGGGAUAAGCCUGGGAAACUGGGUCUAAUACCGGAUAUGACCUUCCAUCGCAUGGUGGUUGGUGGAAAGCUUUUGUGGUUUUGGAUGGACUCGCGGCCUAUCAGCUUGUUGGUGGGGUAAUGGCCUACCAAGGCGACGACGGGUAGCCGGCCUGAGAGGGUGACCGGCCACACUGGGACUGAGACACGGCCCAGACUCCUACGGGAGGCAGCAGUGGGGAAUAUUGCACAAUGGGCGCAAGCCUGAUGCAGCGACGCCGCGUGAGGGAUGACGGCCUUCGGGUUGUAAACCUCUUUCAGUAGGGAAGAAGCGAAAGUGACGGUACCUGCAGAAGAAGCGCCGGCUAACUACGUGCCAGCAGCCGCGGUAAUACGUAGGGCGCAAGCGUUAUCCGGAAUUAUUGGGCGUAAAGAGCUCGUAGGCGGUUUGUCGCGUCUGCCGUGAAAGUCCGGGGCUCAACUCCGGAUCUGCGGUGGGUACGGGCAGACUAGAGUGAUGUAGGGGAGACUGGAAUUCCUGGUGUAGCGGU